GUCAAGGUCAUGGUAAAAAUGAACUUCCUGCUUCUUUACUUUAGAAUAAACAAAGAAAUCUAUAAAUUGAGACUUCAAGCUUACAGCUACGGGAACUCCAAGGCGAGAGGCUAAGUGACAGGAGGGAGAACUGGCCGCAGCUGCUCGCCCUGCACUUCUGGGCUGCACCAAAUCGCCACAGGCCUCACCCUCCUGGCUUUGUCUCCACACAGUGACAGCCCACUGACUCUUUUCAUGAAGGGCGAAACACACACAGAGGAAAGGCCAUGUGAAGCACAGCAAGAAGCCACCACUUACAAGCCAGGAAGAGUGGUCUCAUCAGAAAGCACCCAUGGCACCUUGAUCUUGGACCUCCAGCCACCAGAACUAUGGAGUCUCACUUUGUCACCAAGCUGGAGUGUGGUGGCAUGAUCUUGGCUCACUGCAACCUCCCAGGUUCAAGCUAUUCUCCUGCCUCAGCCUCCCGAGUAGCUGGGACUACAGGCGCACGCCACCACACCCAGCUAAUUUUUGUAUUUUUAGUAGAGACAGGGUUUCACCAUGUUCGCCAGGGUGGUCUCUAUUUCUUGACCUCGUGAUUUGCCCACCUUGGCCUUCCAAAGUGCUGGGAUUACAGGCAUGAGUCACUGUGCCCGGCCUAAUUUUGAUUUUUUAAAACAUUUAAUUAAAAUGUUAUUUAAUUACUGAGUUUUUGGUAUCCCUGUCAUUUUUGUGCCCUGGGAAAGAAAGUACCUCCCCACCUUACCCAGCCCUGGCCCUGCUGGAGAGGCAGUAGGGGUUAGGAAGGCGCUGUGGGACGUGGGAUUAGGUAAGCAUGGCAUUUUUCUGAGUGUUAUAUGAGGUGUUUUGAAGAGAAAGUCUUAAAGGCACCAAGGUGGGUGUACUAGUCUGCUCAAGCUGCCAUCACAAAAUCCCUAAGGCUGGAUGGCCCAAACAAUGAACACUUAUUUUCUCAUAGCUCUGGAGGCUGGAAAUCCAAGGUCAAGGUGCCUGCAGGGUAGGUUUCUGGUGAGGCCUCUCUCCCUGGCUCGCAGAUGUCCACCUUCUCACUGGAUGCUCACAUGAACUCUUUUUUUGUGUUCACUUGGAGAGAGAGUCAUGGUGCCAGUUCUUUUUCUUUUCUGAGACAGAGCCUCACUCUGUCACCUAGGCUGGAGUGCAGUGGUGUGAUCAUGGCUCACUGCAGCCUCAAACUCCUGAGCUCAAGCAAUUCUCCUACCUCAGCCUCCCAAGUAGCCAGGAUCACAGGUGUGUGCCACCAUGGCUGGCUAAUUUUUUUUUUUAUGUUAUAGAAAGAGGGUCUCACUGUGUUGCCCAGGCUUCCUUUGCUUAUAAGAACAUCAGUUCUAUUGCUUUGGGCACCCCCUUAUGACCUCAUUGAACCUUAACUACCUUCCUAAAAGCCUGACCUCUGAAUGCGGUCACAUUGGGAGUUAUGGUUUCAACAUACAAUUAUUUUGUAUUGGAGGCACAAUUCAGUCCAUACCAGUGGGUACCCAGCCCCCAUUCAGAUCAUGUUGCCUGGGGUAGGAGCUCGGUGCUGAGAGACGAACAGGUCAGGUUUGGAUUUGGGCUCUUCUAAUUAGCUGUGUGAUCUUGAGCUAAUCACUUAACUUCUCUGAACCUCAGCUUCUCCACCUCUACAAUCAGUCCAUAUUUCUUAUCUCACAGGGAGAUGGAGGGACUAAUCUGAGAUGCAUAUAAAAACCUUGAAGACAAUUCUCAGUAAACUUUAGGUUUCCUCCCUUUAGCAAACUAAUUGGAAUUCAGGAAGCAGCAACUGGCACUGUAGUUAGAAUGCGGUUCUGUUCAUUGACUUCGGGCAGCUGCAGGGCUCGAGGGUGACAUUACACAGAGUCUGUCUAUGAUUUUUCUAAGUUUCAGUGGCUGCACACCCUUAUCCCACAUAAGAUUAGAUUUUCACGCAGACAUUGGGCAAGAGUCCCAGGCCUCACAGAUAUUCUUGGGUCAACCAGGAACUCUCCAUUGCUGUCGAGUACGAGGGAAAGUGCCGAGUCAUGGAUUUGUUUCCUUCAGAUUUUGUGUGGUUCUUAUCAUGUUCUUCAGGAAACAUUAGCACACCCAGCUAUUAAUAAUGAUGAUGGAAUGAAAUUUCUGACUAAAUCCGGGGUGGAGGUGAGGGUCACCUGCCUGCCUGGCUAACCUAUACUUCUAUCUAUCCAGGAAGGAAGGGAGCUAUCUGGAGGCAGGCUAAGGAGAUAGGAAUGUCCAACAUGCUGGGAAUCCCUCGACUUCACGCAACAGGGUAACCCAAGCCUCCCGAAGGUCAGGCUUGGGCGGGAGGGGUCAGUGUUGUCAUUGGCACAUUUUCCCAACCAAGUCCAAAAUCCCUUAGUAGGCAAAGAGUUGAGAUAGGGAAACAGUACCUGGGGCCGCACUGAGAGUGAGAUGAUGGUCCUCAUCCCCGCGCAGAUGGGAAUCUUUGUUUAGAUUAACAGAGGACUGUACAUACACCCUCAAAACAGAUUAGAUAUUUUCCCUGGGAACUUGCUGUAAUUCUUACUCCCCUUGCCCCUCUUUUCCAUGAAAGCAUGAGGUUACACUGAUGAACGCUCCUCCCUUCCUGCACUCCUUCUUGGGCCCUUGCCGCUGCUAUGUCCCUUCAAUUGCCCUAACAGUGUUGAUGAGCAGAAAUAGUGUCAGAUCAUGAUGUCAGCAAUAAUGUCAGAUUUCUGUUGGGUGCCUAGGACCUUCCAAGAUUUAUGGCUACCAGUAAAUCACAAGAGAGACUUUCCUCCCAGAAGGUGAAGGACAGCUAUGGUCAUGCCUCUCACUGAGUAGUCUCUUUUAGACAAUUGCCGGCAUUACUGGGUGCAGAAGCUCAUUUGUUUCCCCACAACCUGCGUGGAAAACUUCACUCAAGUGCUGGAAUAUAUGCUAUGCUCCCAUUGCCCAUCAAAUCCA
rnacentral:lncRNA from 1 species